UACGUAGGGGGCUAGCGUUGUCCGGAAUUACUGGGCGUAAAGCGCACGCAGGCGGUUCGCCAAGUUUGGAGUGACAGUUGUCGGCUCAACCGACAAAGGACUUCAAAAACUGGUGAACUUGAGGACGAGAGAGGAACAUGGAACUCCAGGUGUAGUAGUGAAAUGCGUAGAUAUCUGGAAGAACACCAAUGGCGAAGGCAAUGUUCUGGCUCGUUUCUGACGCUCAGGUGCGAAAGCCAGGGGAGCGAACGGG
rnacentral:rRNA from 1 species